AACGAACGUUGGCGGCGUGGAUUAGGCAUGCAAGUCGAACGCGAACGUCGGGCUUCGGCCUGACUAGUAGAGUGGCGAACGGGUGAGUAACGCGUGGGCAAUCUACCCUCGAGUGGGGAAUAACCAUUCCAACGAGUGGCUAAUUCCGCAUGUGCCCUCUCUGUCGCAUGGCGGAGCGGGCAAAGGUGGGGAUCUUCGGACCUGCCGCUCGAGGAGGAGCCCGCGUCCCAUAGCUAGUUGGCGGGGCAACGGCCCACCAAGGCGACGAUGGGUAGCCGAUCUGAGAGGAUGACCGGCCACACUGGGACUGAGAUACGGCCCAGACUCCUACGGGAGGCAGCAGUCGAGAGGCUUCGGCAAUGGGGCAACCCUGACCGAGCGACGCCGCGUGCGGGAUGAAGGCC
rnacentral:rRNA from 1 species